CGGAUCUUGGGGUGGCAGCCACAGAAACGUGAGGAGGAAAAAGGCACUACCUUUUAAAACUUGGAGUUGGGGUCCCUGAAGAGAGUGGCAAUAAAAUGGUGAGGCACCCGGAACAUGCCUGGCACAAAUGUUUGUUGACGGAACAAGUGAAUGAAGAGGUUGCCUGAAGCUGUGGGAGGUCUUUGCCUCCACUGGACAGUCUCCAGGAGGAGCACCAAGACCAAAGGAAGCUCGGUGACCUGGGGGCUGGUUCAAAGCCAUAAUGAGAGAGACAGUUUUGAUGUGGGCUUCCAGCAGGACAGCGUCACAUAGGAUGUGAUAAAACAGUGUGUGCAACAGGAUCCUCGUUGUUUUGUCAGGGAGUAAUGACUACACAGAGUUUUAUGCUCCUUGGAAAAUGGCGGAGGUAAUUUUUCAUCAAGAGGACAUUUCCUAAGGGGAACACAAAGUGCAGUUUUCACAG